ensembl:snRNA U7 U7 small nuclear RNA
UGGUGUUACAGCUCUUUUAGAAUUUGUCUAGCAGGCUGUCCGGGUUUUGCUGGAAAGCCCCU